UACGAAGGGGACUAGCGUUGUUCGGAAUUACUGGGCGUAAAGCGCACGUAGGCGGAUGUGUCAGUCAGGGGUGAAAUCCCGGGGCUCAACCUCGGAACUGCCUUUGAUACAGCACGUCUUGAGUCCGAUAGAGGUGGGUGGAAUUCCUAGUGUAGAGGUGAAAUUCGUAGAUAUUAGGAAGAACACCGGUGGCGAAGGCGGCCCACUGGAUCGGUACUGACGCUGAGGUGCGAAAGCGUGGGGAGCAAACAGG
rnacentral:rRNA from 1 species